rnacentral:rRNA from 1 species
UACGUAGGAUGCGAGCGUUAUCCGGAUUUAUUGGGUUUAAAGGGUGCGCAGGCGGCACGGCAAGCCGGCGGUCAAAUCGCGGGGCUCAACCCCGCCUAGCCGUCGGAACUGCCGGGCUAGAGUGGGCGAGAAGUGCGCGGAAUGCGUGGUGUAGCGGUGAAAUGCAUAGAUAUCACGCAGAACUCCGAUUGCGAAGGCAGCGCACCGGCGCCCUACUGACGCUCAGGCACGAAAGCGUGGGUAUCGAACAGG